AAUUUCUGGGGUGUUUUUUCACUUUCAUCUAAGUGCCUCGCCUGCUGUUCCCUUCCCUCCUGUGAGUCAUUGGCAUGACCAUCUGUCUCCAGUGAGUAUUUCUCUCUGUUCGAGUUCCAGGUCAUCAGUUUCAAUCCAUUUUCGUUCUUGUUAUUCACCUCACUCUGUACGUCCCAUGCAGGGAUUCCAUUCCCAGGACAGCGGUGUCACACCUAAUUCCUCACCCAGUCCAAUUCGAAGGUUUCGAGGAGGAUCUGUGAGCUCUGGAGUGAGAUGGCCAUCAGUUGCACCUUUGAAAAGGAAAGGUGGAGUGGAAUCGGACGGUCCGCCCAAAAAGCUCUUUGUUGCUGGAGUCACAGACCCUGCUCACAUAACCAGUUACACAGUCAGUGUUUCCCAGUCAGUGGACUCUUCCUCUGGGACUGCUCCUGUCGGUUCAAACACCCAGGCCACCCCCCUGUCCCUCUCCCCUCCGCCCCCCUUCACCUCUCACCACCCCAGCAUCUAAACCCCAGUAUUCAUCACAUCAUCACCUUGUAGAGCUUUGGACUCAAGGUGUUGUAAAAUGAAGACCAAACUUCGACCUAAACUCGGUUCUGUCCCGUUUUGUUUUCCUGCUUUUAAUUUGGUGCUUUGAAUAGAGGAUUUCAGCUCAAUCCCUUCUGAAGGAAAUUUGGCCUAGUUGUGACUUUGAUUUCAAAGGAAAUCCAGAUGCAAUAGAAGAAGACAAAAUCUUCUGGAUGUAUCUGACAUGACAACAUGCAGGCUAUCAUGUAAUUUGUGAAUAAUUAUGGAUCUUCUGUGCCUACGGAAUAGUGUGUUAUUUAUAUGAAAUAGUAUCUGCAAUAACACAUUGCAAUGAAAGUGUUCAGGUAAUUGAAACCUGGCGAAUAUUGACACAAAGACCCUUUCCUCAGUGUACAGACUCAAGAGAAAGACCAGUUUUGCUCUUUGUUUUCCUCAACUCUUGUAUUUUGGCACAUCUUCAGCUUCCAUUAGCAGGG
ensembl:lncRNA